rnacentral:lncRNA from 1 species
GGAAUAAUUUUAAGAAGCAGUUGGCAAGAGGAGAGGUCAGGGUGCCAAAACCUCUGACCUCCAGACUUGGAAAAGCCAAUCUGCUGGGGGGGGGGCAACUCUAGGGCUCCCCUUCACCGACUUUCCUUCCCCCCUCACCCCUUUGCCAUUGCCUAUCCCAAAUACCCUCAACAAAUUCCUUUUGGGGUUUGGGUUUGCCUCAGGGAUCAAGAAAGGAGAUUAGGUUUUUCACAAGGAGGAGGUUGAUUUCAACCUCUGAGACUAAGCAUCUCUGACCAAGGAAGCCAUCACUCUUGGCAGUUAAUCCUAUCUACCCCCCCCACCCCCAGGGGCUGGCAGUUGAGGCCCCUUUGGGAGGUGGAAAUUACAACGGCUCAUCCUGUCUCAGAGACAAUUCUGAUCUCAGGGGCUGUGCGUCCUCAGAGGGAGAUCCAGAGUCACUUCAUUGGUCAAACCCUUCUCCUGGCUCCUGUCCUCCAUCUCCCAAAAAACAUCCCUGUGGAGUCAUAGCCUUUUCAAGGAGACAGGUCCUGGCUGAGCUCUCCCCUAAAUCAAUGGAGAGAAAUAUAAGUCACAUGAACAUGGUGCAACAUGUAACAAAUAAGGAUAUUCAAAGUACUAAAGAGAAGGAUACCAUCAGGUAAAUGUAUGAUCAUUAAAAAGAUGGGCUGGGAAUAUGCCAUGAGCAAUGGAUAAGAUUAGAUGUUCUAUUUGCUCCCCUGGUAUCUUCAUGUGGUUAAGAAAAAGUGAGGAUGGAAUGUCUAAUAGAACCCCUAAGCAAAUUACUGGGGCAAAAAGAAUAAUUACAUUUAUGUGGUAUGGAUAGGUUACAAUCUGAAUCAAUACCAUAACCUAUCCAUAGAGAUGAGAUCACAAACCCAUUUAAGUGUUAUGUUUUAUACUAUGUGACUGUGAAUCAUGAGAAACCAUUAUAUCAAAAAAAUAAAAAAUGUGGGUGGCCCGAAGGUCA